CCUACGGGAGGCAGCAGUGAGGAAUAUUGGUCAAUGGGCGGGAGCCUGAACCAGCCAAGCCGCGUGAGGGAAGAAGGUACAGCGUAUCGUAAACCUCUUUUGUCAGGGAACAAAGGCGGGGACUAGUCCCCGGAUGAGGGUACCUGAAGAAAAAGCAUCGGCUAACUCCGUGCCAGCAGCCGCGGUAAUACGUAGGGAGCGAGCGUUGUCCGGAUUUACUGGGUGUAAAGGGUGCGUAGGCGGCCCUGCAAGUCAGAAGUGAAAUCCAUGGGCUUAACCCGUGAACUGCUUUUGAAACUGUAGGACUUGAGUGGAGUAGAGGUAGGCGGAAUUCCCGGUGUAGCGGUGAAAUGCGUAGAGAUCGGGAGGAACACCAGUGGCGAAGGCGGCCUACUGGGCUUUAACUGACGCUGAAGCACGAAAGCGUGGGUAGCAAACAGGAUUAGAUACCCCUGUAGUC
rnacentral:rRNA from 1 species